rnacentral:rRNA from 1 species
UGGGGGAUAUUGCACAAUGGGCGAAAGCCUGAUGCAGCGACGCCGCGUGGGGGAUGAAGGCUUUCGGGUUGUAAACCUCUUUCGCUAUCGAACAAGGCCCGCUUAGGGUGGGUUGAGGGUAGGUGGAGAAGAAGCGCCGGCUAACUACGUGCCAACAGCCGCGGUAAUACGUAGGGCGCGAGCGUUGUCCGGAAUUAUUGGGCGUAAAGGGCUUGUAGGCGGCUUGUUGCGCCUGCUGUGAAAACGCGGGGCUUAACUUCGCGCGUGCAGUGGGUACGGGCAGGCUUGAGUGUGGUAGGGGUGACUGGAAUUCCAGGUGUAGCGGUGGAAUGCGCAGAUAUCUGGAGGAACACCGAUGGCGAAGGCAGGUCACUGGGCCAUUACUGACGCUGAGGAGCGAAAGCAUGGGUAGCGAACAGG